GCGACCCCAGGUGAGGCGGGAUUACCCGCUGAAUUAAGCAUA
rnacentral:rRNA from 1 species